CCCAAGUGUGUACUACCAACCCUAGUCAUA
rnacentral:piRNA from 1 species